ACACUUUCUGUGAGAUUGGUGUCAGAGCACCAAUGUUCAGAAAAAUUGACUAACACAGCUGCUACUCUGAAACCUGUUAAAUAUUCCUGAUUUAAGAUAUACAAGCAGCCUUGACAACAUCCUUUGAUCUCACUCCAUCAGAGGAGCUGACAAAGCAGAGGAAACAGUAAUGAAACUAUAAGGAUGUCUGUUGUCUGUUGAAGUUUUGGUCCUUCAGAACUCAUUCCAAGAUGAAUCCAAGCAGGCAUGUUUUUCUUUGUAGGACCUGAAGGAACAAAGCCUGAAUUUAAAUUCCUUUAAAUUAAACAGAAAAAGGUAUGAUUUGCAUGUACUUCAUUGCUCCAAAGUACUUCCUUUCAGGCUUCAGCUGAACACCCAGCUAUGGAGACUCUUUCAAGGGAGUGUUUACAGUUCUGAAAGAGUUGUGAAUGGCAGCACUCAGAGAACAUUUAAGAAAUGACUGAUGAGAUUUGAUGGUGCUCAGGAGAGAGAACCUCCAAGUAUUCAUAUGUAAAUCCCAGAUAUUUGCCAGAAUGUUGCUUUUAAGUACUGUCAUAUUUUCUUUCCAAGUGCAUAUGGAGUAAGUAGAUGGAGGUAAUGUUCCCCCUAGAGACCCAGAAACUGGUUUUAAUG